AACAGGAUUAGAUACCCUGGUAGUCCACGCUGUAAACGAUGUCGACUUGGAGGUUGUUCCCUUGAGGAGUGGCUUCCGGAGCUAACGCGUUAAGUCGACCGCCUGGGGGGUACGGCCGCAAGGUUAAAACUCAAAUGAAUUGACGGGGGCCCGCACAAGCGGUGGAGCAUGUGGUUUAAUUCGAUGCAACGCGAAGAACCUUACCUACUCUUGACAUCCAGAGAACUUAGCAGAGAUGCUUUGGUGCCUUCGGGAACUCUGAGACAGGUGCUGCAUGGCUGUCGUCAGCUCGUGUUGUGAAAUGUUGGGUUAAGUCCCGCAACGAGCGCAACCCUUAUCCUUUGUUGCCAGCGAUUCGGUCGGGAACUCAAAGGAGACUGCCAGUGAUAAACUGGAGGAAGGUGGGGAUGACGUCAAGUCAUCAUGGCCCUUACGAGUAGGGCUACACACGUGCUACAACGGCAUAUACAAAGAGAAGCGACCUCGCGAGAGCAAGCGGACCUCAUAAAGUAUGUCGUAGUCCGGAUUGGAGUCCGCAACUCGACUCCAUGAAGUCGGAAUCGCUAGUAAUCGUGGAUCAGAAUGCCACGGUGAAUACGUUCCCGGGCCUUGUACACACCGCCCGUCACACCAUGGGAGUGGGUUGCAAAAGAAGUAGGUAGCUUAACCUUCGGGAGGGCGCUUACCACUUUGUGAUUCAUGACUGGGGUGAAGUCGUAACAAGGUAACC
rnacentral:rRNA from 1 species